rnacentral:rRNA from 1 species
GGAAACAGAUGCUAAUACCGCAUAAACCUAACACCGCAUGGUGUAGGGUUGAAAGAUGGUUUCGGCUAUCACUUUAGGAUGGACCCGCGGUGCAUUAGUUAGUUGGUGAGGUAAAGGCUCACCAAGACCGUGAUGCAUAGCCGACCUGAGAGGGUAAUCGGCCACACUGGGACUGAGACACGGCCCAGACUCCUACGGGAGGCAGCAGUAGGGAAUCUUCCACAAUGGACGAAAGUCUGAUGGAGCAACGCCGCGUGAGUGAAGAAGGUUUUCGGAUCGUAAAACUCUGUUGUUGGAGAAGAAUGUAUCUGAUAGUAACUGAUCAGGUAGUGACGGUAUCCAACCAGAAAGCCACGGCUAACUACGUG